rnacentral:rRNA from 1 species
AAGGUAGCGAAAUUCCUUGUCGGGUAAGUUCCGACCUGCACGAAUGGCGUAACGAUGGCGGCGCUGUCUCCACCCGAGACUCAGUGAAAUUGAAAUCGCUGUGAAGAUGCAGUGUAUCCGCGGCUAGACGGAAAGACCCCGUGAACCUUUACUAUAGCUUUGCACUGGACUUUGAAUUUGCUUGUGUAGGAUAGGUGGGAGGCUUUGAAGCGUGGACGCCAGUCUGCGUGGAGCCAUCCUUGAAAUACCACCCUGGCAACUUUGAGGUUCUAACUCAGGUCCGUCAUCCGGAUCGAGGACAGUGUAUGGUGGGUAGUUUGACUGGGGCGGUCUCCUCCUAAAGAGUAACGGAGGAGUACGAAGGUGCGCUCAGACCGGUCGGAAAUCGGUCGUAGAGUAUAAAGGCAAAAGCGCGCUUGACUGCGAGACAGACACGUCGAGCAGGUACGAAAGUAGGUCUUAGUGAUCCGGUGGUUCUGAAUGGAAGGGCCAUCGCUCAACGGAUAAAAGGUACUCCGGGGAUAACAGGCUGAUACCGCCCAAGAGUUCAUAUCGACGGCGGUGUUUGGCACCUCGAUGUCGGCUCAUCACAUCCUGGGGCUGAAGCCGGUCCCAAGGGUAUGGCUGUUCGCCAUUUAAAGUGGUACGCGAGCUGGGUUUAGAACGUCGUGAGACAGUUCGGUCCCUAUCUGCCGUGGACGUUUGAGAUUUGAGAGGGGCUGCUCCUAGUACGAGAGGACCGGAGUGGACGAACCUCUGGUGUUCCGGUUGUCACGCCAGUGGCAUUGCCGGGUAGCUAUGUUCGGAAAAGAUAACCGCUGAAAGCAUCUAAGCGGGAAACUUGCCUCAAGAUGAGAUCUCACUGGAGCCUUGAGCUCCCUGAAGGGCCGUCGAAGACUACGACGUUGAUAGGCAGGGUGUGUAAGCGCUGUGAGGCGUUGAGCUAACCUGUACUAAUUGCCCGUGAGGCUUGACCAUAUAACACCCAAGCAAUU